rnacentral:rRNA from 1 species
AUGAACGCUGGCGGCGUGCCUAAUACAUGCAAGUCGCGCGAACAGACGAGGAGCUUGCUCCUCUGACGUUAGCGGCGGACGGGUGAGUAACACGUGGAUAACCUACCUAUAAGACUGGGAUAACUUCGGGAAACCGGAGCUAAUCCCGGAUAAUAUAUUGAACCGCAUGGUUCAAUAGUGAAAGACGGUUUUGCUGUCACUUAUAGAUGGAUCCGCGCCGCAUUAGCUAGUUGGUAAGGUAACGGCUUACCAAGGCAACGAUGCGUAGCCGACCUGAGAGGGUGAUCGGCCACACUGGAACUGAGACACGGUCCAGACUCCUACGGGAGGCAGCAGUAGGGAAUCUUCCGCAAUGGGCGAAAGCUUGACGGAGCAACGCCGCGUGAGUGAUGAAGGUCUUCGGAUCGUAAAACUCUGUUAUUAGGGAAGAACAAAUGUGUAAGUAACUAUGCACGUCUUGACGGUACCUAAUCAGAAAGCCACGGCUAACUACGUG